CAGAAAACCAAGCAGAGAGAUCUUCAGCUGAUAAUGCCCUCUUUGCUGGGUAUGCAUACAGCAUUAUACUUGAUAGAUGAAAGUCUUCUUGUGAAGAAGACUCCACCGUGCCGCUGAGGAGGUCUAGCUGAGGCCUAACAGGCAAGUUAAACAUUUAAAAACUACACAAAGUGAUAUAUGGUGUAUACUGGAGCAAAGCAGCUAAGCUGGAUACAGCGGGACAAAGGACUAAAGAAAAAGAAAUGUGACCUUUCUGGUUGUGCAAAUGAGGACUUAGAAUUAGUUGUUCAGCUGAAGUGGUUGGAUGUAGGCUGUCUCUUUUGA
rnacentral:lncRNA from 1 species